GACGAACGCUGGCGGCGUGCUUAACACAUGCAAGUCGAACGGUAAGGCCCUUCGGGGUACACGAGUGGCGAACGGGUGAGUAACACGUGGGUGAUCUGCCCUGCACUUCGGGAUAAGCCUGGGAAACUGGGUCUAAUACCGGAUAGGACUCCGGACUGCAUGGUCUGGGGUGGAAAGCUUUUGCGGUGUGGGAUGGGCCCGCGGCCUAUUAGCUUGUUGGUGGGGUGAUGGCCUACCAAGGCGAAGACGGGUAGCCGGCCUGAGAGGGUGACAGGCCACAGUGGGACUGGGAUACGGCCCAGACUCCUACGGGAGGCAGCAGUGGGGAAUAUUGCACAAUGGGCGCAAGCCUGAUGCAGCGACGCCGCGUGAGGGAUGACGGCCUUCGGGUUGUAAACCUCUUUCAGCAUCGACGAAGCGAAAGUGACGGUAGGUGCAGAAGAAGGACCGGCCAACUACGUGCCAGCAGCCGCCGUAA
rnacentral:rRNA from 1 species